UAAAUCUAUUCGUUCAAAUUCCAUAGAAAGAUUUUUCUUCUACUACUCUCUGCAGUUCUUUAUUUAUAGCACCGUAAUAGCAUGUUAUCUCCAAGCCAUUCUUAAAUUGCCAAUCUGCAUGACAUAGCUGUAACUAGUUUAUACCCAAUGGCCUUACUAAGAUUCACAAUUUUUCUGCAUAGCAGUUGUUUACGAUAAAUGUUGAUAACAAACCACAUGUGCUGUUUAGCACUAAAAUAUUAACAUUGCGUGAUUACAGUUCAGAGGUACACAGAGAUCAUUUAGAAACUCUUCAUGUAUAUUAUAGCAUUCACUUGACACAUACAAUAGAUUGUUCAUGCUGUGCCCGGUGGGGGCGGGUGGUUAACAAUUGAUGCUAUGUGUGGGAGGGAGAGUUUGGGUUGGGACUGCCAAAUAGUGGUGUGUGCAGUGGGUAAGGUGGGUUGGGAUGCUAUAAGAAAAA